AUACGGAGGGUCCAAGCGUUAUCCGGAUUCAUUGGGUUUAAAGGGUUCGUAGGCGGAUAAAUAAGUCAGUGGUGAAAUCCCGAAGCUCAACUUCGGAACUGCCAUUGAAACUGUUUAUCUUGAAUUUAGUUGAAGUGGGCGGAAUAUGACACGUAGCGGUGAAAUGCAUAGAUAUGUCAUGGAACACCAAUAGUGAAGACAGCUCACUAAGCUAAUAUUGACGCUGAUGAACGAAAGCAUGGGUAGCGAACAGGAUUAGAAACCCUAGUAGUCC
rnacentral:rRNA from 1 species